GAUGAACGCUGGCGGCGUGCCUAACACAUGCAAGUCGAACGGACGGACGAGAAUCUUGUUUUUCUUUUGGUAGCGGCGGGCGGGUGAGGAACGAGUGGAUCACCAACCUAUAAUACUGGGAUAACGUCGGGAAACCGGAGACAAUACCGGAUGAUAUUUUGAACCGCAUGGUGCAAAAGGUAAUGACGGUCUUGCUGUUACUUAUAGAUGGUUCGGCGCUGCAUUAGCUAGUUGGUAGGGUAACGGCCUACCACGGCAACGAUGCGUAGCCGACCUGAGGGGGUGAUCGGCCACACUGGAACUGAGACACGGUCCAGACUCCUACGGGAGGCAGCAGUAGGGAAUGUUGGGCAAUGGGCGAAAGCCUGACGGAGUGACGCCGAGUGAGUGAUGAAGGUCUUCGGAUCGUAAAGCUCUGUUAUUAGGGAAGAACAUAUGUGUAAGUAACUGUGGACGUCUUGACGGUACCUAAUCAAGAAGCACCGGCUAACUACGUG
rnacentral:rRNA from 1 species